rnacentral:lncRNA from 10 species
CGAAGAGCAAAAUGAAAGAGCCCAAGGGAGUCCUCGGAGGGAGUCCUGAACUCUGCCAGGAAGGUCAGGGGCGUCUGCACAGCGGUGGUGACAUUUGACCUGGGGUGGAGUGCGGUGGUGACAGCGUGGGUGAGAGGUGAGGUGGCUUCCAUUCAAAGGGGACCCAGGUGUGCAAACUCCAGGCCGUCUACCCUGCACUGUGAUGGUGGAGAUCGGUGCUUCAAGGUUAACAGAGCAAGAUGAAAACCUCCAGGAUGGCUGAGUCCACGCGGGUAUGCUGCCUGCAAGGGUGAGCUGGAAAAAACAACAAAACAUAAAUAAGCACAUUUCUCCAUUUCUAAUACGGAAAUUUGGAUUUCUGCUCAGAGAUCAUCGUUCACCAAGAAUCUGAAUUUUUAAUCAAUUUCUUAUCUAUUUGAACACAACAUGGAUGAGAGACAUGUCCAAACCUUUCUGGGUUGCAAAUACUGAGUGGGAGGCCAGCCUUCAUCACCAGGCGAGAGGUCUUGUUCCACCCCCGAGCUUGACCGCAUGGGAAUCAAAUUCAUGACUCAGCCAAGCUUGGCAUGGCUGCAUGUGAUGGGGUAUGGUGGCCAUCAGUGCUAUUUGCUAAAUAUGUAAGGGCUUCCUUCCUGCCUUUUGGUAGAAUUGCACUUCCCUGCCACCUUGCCGUUUGGUGCAGUCAUGUGACUGGUGUUGUCUAAGACAUGUGAGUGGAAGCAGCGUGUAUCAUUUUUGAGCCAAUGUUCAUUAAACCACUUUAGCUUCCACCUGUCAUGGUGAUUUUCUAGAAAUGUGUCAAGAUGAAGGCUGGGGCCCUGAGCAAAUACAAUGUGCAGACACCACUGUAUUCACAGAAGGGAAACAUAGCAUUUGAGAGAAUUAGCUGUUUCUUAUUUUAAGCUGCUGAGAUUUGGGGAUCUUUUAACUGCCCAUAAGCCAUCCCAAUUAACACACAGAGUCAUUUACAAAUCAUUAAAGCCUCUGAUGUUAAAUCUGUGAAUUGAAAUGUUCUACAAUGUGCAAAUCACUUUGGUAACUUUUUUUUUUUUCAUCUAGAAAAACUCAGUCCUUCGUCAGCUCUGAAUUGUGGUGGUAAACUCCUGGGUUCUAUCUGAAGUCAAAUACCAAGGAGAAGGUGCAAGCUUCGCCUUCUGGAAUAAAUUCAGUGAACUGCCA